GAAGGCUUGACCUCAAAUCCAGGUAGGACUACCCAU
rnacentral:rRNA from 1 species